rnacentral:rRNA from 1 species
UACGGGGGGAGCAAGCGUUGUUCGGAUUUACUGGGUGUAAAGGGCGCGUAGGCGGCCAGCACAAGUCGGUUGUGAAAUCUCCGGGCUUAACUCGGAAAGGUCAACCGAUACUGUGCGGCUAGAGUGCGGAAGGGGCAACUGGAAUUCUCGGUGUAGCGGUGAAAUGCGUAGAUAUCAAGAGGAACACCUGAGGUGAAGACGGGUUGCUGGGCUGACACUGACGCUGAGGCGCGAAAGCUAGGGUAGCAAACGGG